CUUCUCUGUCCUGUCACCUGGUGAAAAAAAGUGCUUGCUUCCCCUUCCCCUUCUGCCAUGAUUGUGAGUUUCCUGAGGCCUCCUCAGCCAUACCGAACUUUUAUCAUCUCAGGAUUUGGAAUUGGGAAGAAGGACGCUCCUUCAGCUCAGAUGUUUGCUUGUGCCCCAGACUCCAGAGACCCUCUCCCCACCUCCUUUCCUCCCUUGCCCCCUUCCAUGGGGACAAAGAGGGGCUCCCGCCUCAGGCCUUGGGGAGGGGCUUGAAUGCCUUAUGGAGGCUUCCAUGGAGAGUCAGUGGCAGAGGAUGAAAAAGAGGAGCUGAAGAAGCAGAAAAAGGAAGAGAGGAGGAAAAGCCAGGAGAUUACAAGGGAUCAAGAAGAGGCUGUUUAAGUACAUGGCAGGGUACCCAGGAGCUGGGCUCCUGUGGUUGUGUGGGCUGGAGGCUGCAUGGCAGUGGAUGCUGAGAAGAAGCUGUGCUUUCGAGAAGCUGAAAGAAGAUGGUCUGUCCUCCCACAGGGGCCUCAGGGACCUCAGGCAAUGCUGGGCUCUCAGAGGGUAGGGUGGGGGCAUCCAUGCCCUCAUUUUGGCCUAGGAGGCAACAGGUGUUUAUCUGAAGUGCCUCUGCAUGCGGUGGACAUCAGACAAAGACAGUGUGUGUGUUUGUGCAUGUGUAGAUGCACGUCGGAGACACGUUUCAGUGUGCAGACUGCAUGCAUUCACUUCUGUGUGUUUUCGAAAGUUCAGGCGUGCAUGCCUGUCAAAGAGGCCCAUGGGCAAUCUGAAACCAUGACUGGAUACCAGCCCAGGCUGCGACAGCCCAAAGGACAGCCCUCUCCCCACAUCAGGGCUGCUCUGACCAUGUCCCAGCUUAAGCAUGGCAGUUGCCCAAGGCUAUCACCUUGCUCUCUGCUGGGCUCAAUUCAUGACUGACUGGUGGCCAGGACCCAGUGGUUUACCAGGUGCUUUCACCCUUAGGCUCUCACAUGGUCCUGGUAAAAACCAUGUGGUACACAGUACAGUUCUCUUUACAGAGACAGGAACCAAAACUUAACAUCUCAAAAAACUGCCUUUCGAAGUCAGAUCCAGUAUUGUUUCCUUUGCCUGCAAAUGUCAUUAGGUACUGUUUCUUUAUUUUUGGGCCAUCUCCUCUUACAUCUCUACCCUUUUAACCCCUAAGGGUCAAAAAUGUGCAUAAAAGGCCAGAGUAGGGACCUUGCUUUCCCCAUCCAUGUUCUUUGUGGCUGGACUUAAAUGGUUAGGGUGAAGGUGGGUCAUAAGUCCAGAGUUUAGCUCCUGGGGGACCUUCUUCCAAGGCCUGGGGGCCUAUAAAUUCCAAAUUCUAGACUUACAGGGAUUUUAAUGUUGGGAGCAGUUCUGUAUAGGAGGGAAGAGGUGCUGCUAUCAGGAACUCAGAGAGGAUUUUUCGAAUCUGUUGGGACUGUUUUCGAAUCCCAGUUAUGUGACGGAGGCCAAUCAGUAUUCUCUCUCUCUGCAUCUCAGCUUUCUCAUCUAUAAAACGGGAAUCUAAUAAAAAUAAUAAUAGCAAAUACUUGUAGAAUGCCAACAAGAUGUAAGACUCUAUUUUAAGUACUUAAUAGCUAUUAAUUUAAUCUUUACAACAAUCUUGUGAGUCAGGAAUAUUAUCACCAUUGAACAGACAAGAAAACUGAUUCUCAAAGUAUUAAGUGACUUGCCCAACAUCACAGUGCUCAUACACGACGAAUAUGGUACUUGAGCCCAGCAGUCUGGCUACAACAUCUGUGUUUAACCACUGCAAUACUUCACAGCAGGGCUGGAUAACUACCUGAACCUUGGGUGGUAAAAAAACAGCUUAACAACAUGUGGUGGUUUUAAAACCUGUCUGCAAACUCUUUGAUACUCCUCCAUCAAAAGGCAAAAUCUAGGUCUCCUCCCCUUGAAAGUCCUAGAUAAACUGUGUGACAGACUUCAAGAAUUAGGAUGCAGUGAACAGAAUGCUAUGAAAUUUCCAAGGGUGGCUUAGGAAAGGCCUUUGGCUUCUGCUGGUUUCUCUCAGGAUACCUGCUUUGGGAGCCUUCUGCUGCUGCGUGAGAUCCCUGGCUACCCUGGAGAGACAUCAGACAACAAGUGAGAUGCCCAAGAGCCCUAGCUGUCUUUGUCUUUGCAGCCCAAGCUCCAGACAUGUACUGAAGAAGCUUUAAGGAUAAAUUCAGUCCCAACUACUCCCUGGCUACAACUAUGAGACAGACCCUCCCAAGUCAGAACUGCCUAGCCAAGCUCAGGCAACUCCAAGAUUUAAGAGCAAAAUAAAAGAUAGUUAUUGCUUUAA